AUAAGGUGCCGUUUAAAAGAAUCAAGGUGACCAUGACAGCAAAACCCGAGCGUUAGCAAUCUCUCUGCUCAUCUCUGCUUACGCGCAAUUCGAAGUCACGAUAAAUCUGAUGAGCAUUAACCGAAAACGGAUACAGGCAAAAAUAAUUAAAAGGACGACUAACCAAUGAACGGUCCCAAAAUGUAUCCAAUCACCGUCGAAUACGUGAAAAAGAUGAAGGAUCAAGUGAAAGAAAUCCUUUCUGUGUGGAAGUAUAGCAGUGAGCUUGAAGAAACUGGUGAACGACGAUACAAAAGUGAUCAAGCAGUAGAGCCAUGUCUAUAAAUAAAUUCCAUAAUGUUUAUAAAUAAAAUUGAUACUGUCCAUAAAUAAAUUCAUAAAUGAUUGUCAAUAAAUACAAUGAAUCACUUGCGUACAAUGAUACGAUACAUGCAAUAGAUAAGUGGAUGGAUUUUAAUUGGAUCUGAAAAAUCUCGAUGAAUACUCACAGUGAGGUCUGUAAAGUGAAACAAAAUUUCGUACAUUGCACCGAUUACGAUAAGACAUAUCUGAACAUAGGAGAUAAACAACAAGAAAUAGUAGAACGUUUCCUGAUCGCGUCCGCUCGGCAUCCAGAAGCCGAAGUGCCUCAGAAAUGGGAUCAUCAAGUUUAUGGAGAAAUCGUUGGAUUUUUGCAUCGUGUUUAAUUAUACCGAAAAAAUUCGCUGACAAUCUAAGCGCAAAGUGUCCAACUGAUUUGAUUCUUUUUUCGCUGGCGACUGUCCCCCACCCUUCGUCGCAUCGCUAGCAGUAAUAAAACCGAGCAUGCUAACUGCCGAGUACAAAUAUAAGAAAGUGGGGAUGGCAACAUAUGUGCCAUUUUCCAAGGUUCGAUUACGAUGAACAAGCGCUGUGCGCUCUGAUGUGCAAUUACUGGUCUCACUCCGAGAACUGAAAACUUGUAGCUCAUUCGUAAUUCUGUAAGCUAUUGUCACAUUCUUCGCAAUCCUUGACCUUAAUUGGCAUCUGUUAACCCCUUAACGCACAGUUCUUUUGAAAAAAAAAUGGCCAAAAAAUAUCAAUUUUUUCCUGAUUCAACUUCUCUUUCGGCGGAGAAUUUUGAUAUGCUGCGCUUUUGUUCCAUGGAAAAAAGGCUAUAUUUUAUUCUUGAAUAAAUAAGUGUUAUAACUUA